UACGGGGGGGGCAAGCGUUGUUCGGAAUUACUGGGCGUAAAGGGCUCGUAGGCGGCCAGCUAAGUCGGAUGUGAAAUCCCCAGGCUCAACCUGGGAACUGCAUCCGAUACUGGAGGGCUUGAAUCCGGGAGAGGGAUGCAGAAUUCCAGGUGUAGCGGUGAAAUGCGUAGAUAUCUGGAGGAAUACCGGUGGCGAAGGCGGCAUCCUGGACCGGCAUUGACGCUGAGGAGCGAAAGCUAGGGGAGCAAACGGG
rnacentral:rRNA from 1 species